UUUAAUGUAUGAUUAAAGUUUUUGAUGUCGCAGAUACUGCAUCAGGAACUGAUUGGAUACAAAUAUAUCACCAUCAGUUCCUAAUGCAUUGCCUUCAGCAUCUAAACAAG
rnacentral:pre_miRNA from 1 species